CUCAUAUUACUCAGGGUUUUCAGAGCAAAGCCCUAGGGAAUGUCUGUCUUCCUAGACUUGGCAAACCUACCAGCCUUCCUAGACUUCUCUACACAUGGUCACCAAGAUCCAGACAUUCUGAGGUUCUAAGAGCUCCUUUCAGCAACUUUACUGUGCAAAUUGAGUUUAAUUCGUUGAGUUUAGUUCAGAAGGAGCUAAGAGAGGAAGAUCAAGAUCCAUGAAUCUAGUAUUCGUGAGCAGGCAUGUCACGCCCUGGGAAGGUUUUCCCGAGGAUGACUCUGGCUGCCCUGACAGCCCCACCACAGGGGACAGCAGCAUUUAUUUGACUUGACUAGGAUUGGAACUUCCAGUGAUCUACAAUCUCCAUAUGAUCUCUGUUUCUACAAGGAAGCACCUUCUCCAUGAAUAUUAUGCACUUAGUUAAACUGAGCCAUGGAAAGCCAAUCAUUCAUUCAACAAAUAUGUACAGAGUGUCAAUAAUGUACCAGGCAAGAAACAAGGAGCUGCGCUCUUUCUUCAAGGAAUCCAUAGUUCUAUCAGUAGAAGGAAUAAAAUAUUCUAAGUGUCUUUGUAGUAGAUUGAAUUAUCAUUUCACAAAUAUUCCCUCUCCCGUCUCACUCUCCUCUUCCCUGCCCCAUUGAUUUAGGACCUGACUAUGUAAAAUACUUUGGCCCAUAAAAUGUGGGCAGAAAUGAUAACAUGCCAGUUUCAAGUGAAGC
rnacentral:lncRNA from 1 species